UACGUAGGGUCCGAGCGUUGUCCGGAAUUAUUGGGCGUAAAGGGCUCGUAGGCGGUUUGUCGCGUCGGGAGUGAAAACACGGGGCUUAACCCCGUGCCUGCUUCCGAUACGGGCAGACUAGAGGUAUGCAGGGGAGAACGGAAUUCCUGGUGUAGCGGUGAAAUACGCAGAUAUCAGGAGGAACACCGGUGGCGAAGGCGGUUCUCUGGGAAUGUCCUGACGCUGAGGAGCGAAAGUGUGGGGAGCGAACAGG
rnacentral:rRNA from 1 species